UACGUAGGGGGCAAGCGUUGUCCGGAAUUAUUGGGCGUAAAGCGCGUGUAGGCGGCUCGGUAAGUCUGCUGUGAAAGUCCAGGGCUCAACCCUGGAACGCCGGUGGAUACUGUCGAGCUCGAGUCCGGAAGAGGCGAGUGGAAUUCCUGGUGUAGCGGUGAAAUGCGCAGAUAUCAGGAGGAACACCAAUGGCGAAGGCAGCUCGCUGGGACGGUACUGACGCUGAGGAGCGAAAGCUAGGGGAGCAAACGGG
rnacentral:rRNA from 1 species